GGCAAUUUAUUUUACAUUUUACAUAGCCUCCUCAACAGACAACUCUGUGGCUUCCCAAACGGGCGAAAUUUUCGUAAAUCUCGGUACAAAAUUUCAUCAACUAUUUCAACUCUAUAUCCUUUUGCUGUCCCCUAUUACCACCCACGUCUUGGCAAAAAAAUACGACAAGAAAUAAUAUUGCAUUAUUCUGCGUUACGAAAUUUCGCCGUUUGGAAAGGCACAGAAUUGCCUGCGGAGGAGCCAGCCCGGCCCGAGGAGGCCAGAAUUUACAUAUGAAAUUAUGAUCCGUAUUUCAGUCAGGCCGCGUUGAGACAAAGUUCAGUGCAGGAGAGAACCCAAAUUAACGUACAGGAAUUCGUACGCUUUAAUAGCUCAAAUAGGUUCAAAUUUCAUGCGUCCUAUCCCAUGUAAACUUCGUUCAAAUUUGAGUUCCGAAUUAAUGCAGUCUCGCUUGACCAGAUCCUGAGUUUGACUGCGCAUUCCCGUCCCAAAGCCGUGACAGUUUUAUGAAGUGCGAGGAUUUUUAAAAUUCUUCCACAUUUUAAGGUCUGCCUCGCGAUCGUUGACAGCAUUUAGCCAGUUAUUUGCCGCCCAUUUUUCUCCUUGUAAGACGUCACAUCCGCCAUGACUGGACAUCUCAUCAAGCUUUCCCACCCAGCCUGUGUCGUCAUCGAUCAGGUGAUUAUACCAGAACAAUGCUGCCCCUUUCUUGGGCAAGUACACGAGAUUAGCUUUGUCACAAUGACUGCUCAGAUUUAGGCGAUGUUUUUCAUCACGAAUGAUUUUC